rnacentral:snRNA from 1 species
ACGCUCUAUUCAGCAGCAUACAGACUAACCGAGAGCAAUACAGAGAUUAGCAUGGCCCCUGUGCAAGCAUGACAUGCAAGCUCAUGAAGCAUUAUUUUUCUGU